CUACGGGUGGCAGCAGUCGAGAAUCUUCUGCAAUGCACGAAAGUGUGACAGAGCGAGCCAGAGUGCUUUUCUUAUUGAAAAGCUUUUGUGAAAUUUAAAACGUUUCACGAAUAAGGACUGGGUAAGACUAGUGCCAGCCGCCGCGGUAAUACUAGCGGUCCAAGUCGCAGCCAUUUUUAUUGGGUCUAAAACAUCCGUAGCUUGCUUAAAAAGUUUCUUGUGAAAUCUUAUAUCUUAAGUAUGAGUCGUGCAGGAAAUACUAUUAAGCUAGAGACUGGAAGACGUAACGAGUAUGUUCGAAGUAGUGGUAAAAUACUUUAAUCUUGAGCAGACUAACAACAGCGAAGGCACGUUACGAGUACAGUUCUGACAGUAAGGGAUGAAGGCUAGGGGCGCAAAACGGAUUAGAUACCCUGGUAGUC
rnacentral:rRNA from 1 species